rnacentral:misc_RNA from 1 species
AGCAGCCGCGGUAAUUCCAGCUCCAAUAGCGUAUAUUAAAGUUGUUGCAGUUAAAAAGCUCGUAGUUGAAUUUCGGGAUCAAUUAGUCGGUCGUGCCUCUGGUACGUACUGGUUUUAUUGGUUCCUCCCUUCUGACGAAACAUGAUGUCAUUAAUUUGGUGUCGUGGAGAAUCAGGACUGUUACCUUGAAAAAAUUAGAGUGUUUAUAGCAGGCUAACGCUUGAAUACAUUAGCAUGGAAUAAUGAAAUAGGACGUUCGACCCUAUUUUGUUGGUCUCUAGGAUCGACGUAAUGAUUAAUAGGGAUAGUUGGGGGCAUUAGUAUUCAAUUGUCAGAGGUGAAAUUCUUGGAUUUAUUGAAGACUAACUACUGCGAAAGCAUUUGCCAAGGAUGUUUUCAUUAAUCAGGAACGAAAGUUAGGGGAUCGAAGACGAUCAGAUACCGUCGUAGUCUUAACCAUAAACUAUGCCGACUAGGGAU